rnacentral:rRNA from 1 species
AUUGAACGCUGGCGGAAUGCUUUACACAUGCAAGUCGAACGGCAGCACGGACUUCGGUCUGGUGGCGAGUGGCGAACGGGUGAGUAAUAUAUCGGAACGUGCCCAGUCGUGGGGGAUAACGUAGUGAAAAUUACGCUAAUACCGCAUACGAUCUACGGAUGAAAGCGGGGGAUCGCAAGACCUCGCGCGAUUGGAGCGGCCGAUAUCAGAUUAGGUAGUUGGUGAGGUAAAGGCUCACCAAGCCAACGAUCUGUAGCUGGUCUGAGAGGACGACCAGCCACACUGGAACUGAGACACGGUCCAGACUCCUACGGGAGGCAGCAGUGGGGAAUUUUGGACAAUGGACGCAAGUCUGAUCCAGCCAUUCCGCGUGCAGGACGAAGGCCUUCGGGUUGUAAACUGCUUUUGUACAGAACGAAAAGGUUUCUAUUAAUACUAGAGGCUCAUGACGGUACUGUAAGAAUAAGCACCGGCUAACUACGUG